GGUUCGAUUAUUGCUCAGAUUGAACGCUGGCGGGAUGCUUUACACAGCAUGCAAGUCGAACGGCAGCCUGGACUUCCGGUCUGGUGGCGAGUGGCGAACGGGUGAGUAAUGUAUCGGAACGUGCCUAGUAGCGGGGGAUAGCACGCGAAAGCGUAGCUAAUACCGCAUGCGCCCCGCUUCGGGGAAAGCGGGGGACCUUCGGGCCUCUCGCACUAUUAGAGCGGCCGAUAUCGGAUUAGCUAGUUGGUGGGGUAACGGCUCGCAAGGCGACGAUCCGUAGCUGGUUUUGAGAGGACGACCAGCCACACUGGGACUGAGGACACGGCCCAGACUCCUACGAAGGAGGCGGCAGUGGGGAAUUUUGGACAAUGGGGGAAACCCUGAUCCAGCCAUCCCGCGUGUGCGAUGAAGGCCUUCGGGUUGUAAAGCACUUUUGGCGGAAAGAAACGGCACGGGAUAAUACCCCGUGCAGCGACCAGUACCUGCAGAAUAAGCACCGGCUAACUACGUGCCAGCAGCCGCGGUAUUAAUACGUAGGGUGCAAGCGUUAAUCGGAAUUACUGGGCGUAAAGCGUGCGCAGGCGGUUCCGGAAAGAAGAUGUGAAAUCCCAGAGCUUAACUUUGGAACUGCAUUUUUAACUACCGAGCUAGAGAGUGUGUCAGAGGGAGGUGGAAUUCCGCGUGUAGCAGUGAAAUGCGUAGAUAUGCCGGAGGAAUGCCGAUGGCGAAGGCAGCCUCCUGGGAUAACACUGACGCUCAUGCACGAAAGCGUAGGGGAGCAAACAGGAUUAGAUACCCUGGUAGUCACGCCCUAAACGAUGUCAACUAGCUGUUGGGGCCUUCGGGCCUUGGUAUUGGCGCAACUAACGCGUGAAGUUGACCGCCUGGGAGUGCAAUUCGCAAGAUUAAAACUCAAAGGAAUUGACGAGGACCCGCACAAGCGGUGGAUGAUGUCACUUAGUUAAUUCGAUGCAACGCGAAAAACCUUACCUACCCUUGACAUGUCUGGAAUCCCGAAGAGAGAUUUGGAGUGCUCGCAAGAGAACCGGAACACAGGUGCUGCAUGGCUGUCGUCAGCUCGUGUCGUGAGAUGUUGGGUUAAGUCCCGCAACGAGCGCAACCCUUGUCAUUAGUUGCUACGAAGGAGCACUCUAAUGAGACUGCCGGUGACAAACCGGAGGAAGGUGGGGAUGACGUCAGUCCUCAUGGCCCUUAUGGGUAGGGCUUCACACGUCAUACAAUGGUCGGGACAGAGGUCGCCAACCCGCGAGGGAAGGAGCCAAUCCCAGAAACCCGAUCGUAGUCCGGAUCGCAGUCUGCAACUCGACUGCGUGAAGUCGGAAUCGCUGGUAAUCGCGGAUCAACAUGGUCGCGGUGAAUACGUUCCCGGGUCUUGUACACACCGCCCGUCACACCAUGGGAGUGGGUUUUACCAGAAGUAGUUAGCCUAACCGUAAGGAGGGCGAUUACCACGGUAAGUUCAUGACUGGGGUGAAGUCGUAA
rnacentral:rRNA from 1 species